UGAGGAAUAUUGCGCAAUGGGCGGAAGCCUGAUGCAGCGUCUUCGCGUGGGGGAUGAAGGCCUUCGGGGAGUAAACUCCUUUCGACAGGGACGAAGCGUAAGUGACGGUACCUGUAUAAGAAGCCCCGGCUAACUACGUGCCAGCAGCCGCGGUAAUACGUAGGGUGCGAGCGUUGUCCGGAAUUACUGGGCGUAAAGAGCUCGUAGGCGGUUUGUCGAGUCGUAUGUGAAAUUCCGGGGCUUAACCCCGGGGGUUCAGGCGAUACGGGAAGACUUGAGUGCAGUAGGGGAGACUGGAAUUCCAGGUGUAGCGGUGAAAUGCGCAGAUAUCAGGAGGAACACCGAUGGCGGAGGCAGGUCUCUGGUCAGUAACUGACGCUGAGGAGCGAAAGCAUGGGGAUCGAACAGGAUUAGAUACCCUGGUAGUCCAUGCCGUAAACGGUGGGCGCUAGGUGUAGGGGGCUUUCCCGUCUUCAGUGCCGUAGCUAACGCAUUAAGCGCCCCGCCUGGGGAGUACGGCCGCAAGGCUA
rnacentral:rRNA from 1 species